ensembl:lncRNA
AUUUAUUGGUGCGCCGUGUUUAUGUCCAGGAGUGUGGCUGAGGAGUAAUAUGGACAUGUUGAGCGAAUGUUUAUCUUUGUGAGUCUUUAACUUGAACGCCAUCGAGUGUGCUGGGAGGUGCGAGUUAUCUGCAGCCCUGCGGAUAUGCAGAGAAAUGAAGAGCUGCCCUGCUUAAGUUCCCAAAAAAACCACAGGUGGUCUACAGAGACAAUCGUCUGGCUUUUGCAAAACCUGCCACUAAAGAGACAUCAGAGCCAGCGGCAAAUGUCAGAAGGACUAGCCGAGUCGAGACUGCUCUCGUCAGUAAACAUGAGCACUGAGCUCCCGCUGAUCGCCUGGAGCUGAUCAUCUCCGAAAUCGGCAGGUCAAGACCUCCACCAUCAUCC